UACGGGGGGGGUAAGCGUUGUUCGGAAUUACAGGGCGUAAAGGGCUCGUAGGCGGCCAACUAAGUCAGACGUGAAAUCCCUCGGCUUAACCGGGGAACUGCGUCUGAUACUGGAUGGCUUGAGUUUGGGAGAGGGAUGCGGAAUUCCAGGUGUAGCGGUGAAAUGCGUAGAUAUCUGGAGGAACACCGGUGGCGAAGGCGGCAUCCUGGACCAAUACUGACACUGAAAAGCGAAAGCCAGGGGAGCAAACGGG
rnacentral:rRNA from 1 species